GACAGAGGGGGCAAGCGUUGCUCGGAAUCACUGGGCGUAAAGGGCGCGUAGGCGGGAUGGCAAGUCGGUCGUGAAAUCCUUCGGCUCAACCGAAGAACGUCGGCCGAUACUGCCGUUCUUGAGGGAUGCAGAGGAGAUUGGAAUUCCCGGUGUAGCGGUGAAAUGCGUAGAUAUCUGGAGGAACACCGGUGGCGAAGGCGGCAUCCUGGACCAACACUGACGCUGAGGAGCGAAAGCCAGGGGAGCAAACGGG
rnacentral:rRNA from 1 species